CAUUUCAUUGUACCUAUACUCGUAUUUGUGCAAUGACAAUAAAGUUGAAUUGAAUUGAUAAAUUUGUUCAGAUAUUUUCUCCCGAGACAUCCAUUGCUUGAAAAUAUUAAUCCUGCAGAUGCUGUAAAUCUAAAAAAACAAGGAGCACACAGCAUUUCAUGCAGCGUCCGUUGAAAGAUAGCACAUCUGUCUGCAGCGUUAUUUUUGCUUUCACGGUUUGUUUCAGAACAAUUGUCUUUUUCAAAAAUACGUUCGUUUCAGUUGUUCUGCAGUUAUUUCAGCGAUUGGGAUCAGGAUAGGCCUGAAGCUGGGGGCAGUGUUAGCUGUGAGGAGGAUGCUAGGAGGCUGGAAGGUGACUUGGAUAGGCUGGGUGAGUGGUAGCAAAUUGCAAAAUCUCUAUUCUCUGCUCUGGUUUGAUCUGGAAUCUGAAAAUCACAAGUAUGUCGGAAACUUACCAUCGGAAGAGAAAAUGUUGGAAAACCUCAGCAUGACAAGUACGCGGGAAAGAAAUUGUAGAAAUAAUUAAUUAACUCGUCAGAAUAUGCAAAAAAAUCAACUCGGUCGAUGGAUUUAGAAUUAUGGAUACAUAUCCAGCGACCAUGCUUUGUCUUAACUCUGGCUUCGUGAUUGUCGCUCUGCCGCCAUCCGUCCAUGGUUUUACAUCAGCCAACGACUUUAAGGUGGCGGCGAAGCUUCAAAGGCCGAGCUCCUGGGCACCAUUUCAAUGUUACUUUUCACCUGGGGUAAAACAACAGUGGGUGUACACACUUGCACAGAUAUCCGCAUUAAGCCACCAGUCUGCGAACACGUCUAGAGCAGACAUCCAGGUCAGAGUAAUGUCACUCGAACACAGACCCUAAUAGCAGAAGUGUUUUUGCAAUGCCAUUAAUUCAGCGAAACAGAUUUGGUAUUUUGCGGAAUUGAGCGGAAAAGUGGAAGUGCAGCUUGAGGAACUAUAUGAGGUCAAAAUCGCCAUCUCUCUGACUACUUCUUAAAAGUUUAACACAGACCAGAUCUCCCAGCCGAGAACAUGGAAGGAAUGGACAUUUAUCAAAAUACCACUGCGUUUCACAUCGAUGAGAGGAAUGGAGGCAAAUCUGAGCCGGAAGAUCUGAAGCCAGAACAUUGGCCCAGAAGAGCAGGUACUGCUCGACGAAAUCUACCACCCAAGAUUAUGUACACUCUUCUGGGUAUCUGCAUCCUGCUGUCCGUUCUGUCGCUUGUUCUUGCGUUGAUACUGAUUACAGGAAACGUUGAGAAAGCAACCAGGUCACUCUCCGACGUUCUGGCUGAGAUUGCACUUAUGAGAGAGCGUAAGGAUAGUGCUCGUCAUCCCAGAUUCACAAGCAACUGAUUCAUCCGACCACAACUAGAGACAAGCCCUCAACUACUUUCUACGUCAUUGUUGUUCCUCGGACUAUCGUUGGUUCGAUUGUAUUGAUGUAUUGUCCAGCACGCACAACGGUUCUUCACUAUACCCCGGUACACUAGCAAUGUUACACCAUUUUGAGAUUUAAAAAUCAAGUCUGCAAUGUAACACAUCAGAUAAAGUAUAAAAAGAAGUUUAAUUUGACACCUAAUUCACUUUCAUAUCUUCAGUAUCUUUCAUAUCUUCAGUCAUAAAAAGGUUAGGGCCAUUUUCAUACUCUGAAAUUAGCAUCUUGUUCCCUAUUGCUUUUCCAUUGACUUCUCAAAAGUUGUGAUCGAAGACAGUCUAAAGCCCAUAUAUUUCCUAAAAAUUAAGAGAACUGAAUGAAAUUUUCAGUUAUUAUUGAUUGAAGCAUUCUGAAACAAAUAU